CCGUGCACGCGUCAUCUAUCCUGCCGGCGGCGGCACCGUUCGUCGUUUGGCCAAAGUCCUCGAUGACCUCCUCUCCUCGGAGAGGGGGCUCGGGGUAAAAGAACCCACGGCGCCGAAGGCGUCAAGGAACACUAUAUGCCUAACAUGGGGACGCGGCUGGCUUGCUAGCCGUCCCCCGUGUUGCAAUGCUAUUUAAUCCACACGACUCUCGGCAACGGAUAUCUCGGCUCUCGCAUCGAUGAAGAACGUAGCGAAAUGCGAUACCUGGUGUGAAUUGCAGAAUCCCGCGAACCAUCGAGUCUUUGAACGCAAGUUGCGCCCGAGGCCACCUGGCUGAGGGCACGCCUGCCUGGGCGUCACGCCAAAUACGCUCCAACACCCUCAUCGGGUAGUGGGAUGCGGCUUGUGGCCCCUCGUCACGCAAGAGGCGGUGGGCCGAAGAUGCGGCUGCCGGCGUAUCGUGCCGGACACAGCGCGUGGUGGGCGACCUCGCUUUACUUACCGCAGUGCAUCCGACGCGUAGCCGACGUGAUGGCCUUGAUGGACCCUAUAAACGGAGCGCAUGACGCUUCGACC
rnacentral:misc_RNA from 1 species